rnacentral:lncRNA from 1 species
CUUCACAUCAAACCUAGGAGAAAGGUACUAUUAUCAUCUCUAAGUUACAAAAAUGGGAACUGAGCCACCAAAUGGCUAAGUGGUUUGCCUAAGAACACAGCGCUGGGCAGACAGAGGAACCAGGGGACUUAGGCCUUGCCAAGGAGGUGACAGUUGGACUGGCCUGGAGGGACUGGCCUGGAAAGAACAGCUACAGUAUGGCCACAGGGUUCCGGGAUGGCCAAGGAGGCCCAUCUCACCAGACCUGGCCCUGAGAAACUUCACCAGCAAGGCUUUCAAAUCGGAAAUAUUAAAUCCCCCCAGGUCACACAGCUGUGUUGUCUGGGUGGUGGCUGAACCAGGAUUCCAUCUCAGGUGUGUCUGAUGGCCAUCACGAUACCACUGUAAAGCUGAGCUCAUUGACUAACGCUUAGGAAGUGGAGGGCCUUACAUUCUAGAUUCCAACCUUCGCCUACAACAAAGGAAACUGCCG